CCUACGGGAGGCUGCAGUGGGGAAUAUUGCACAAUGGGGGAAACCCUGAUGCAGCGACGCCGCGUGAGUGAAGAAGUCUUUCGGUAUGUAAAGCUCUAUCAGCAGGGAAGAGAAUGACGGUACCUGAGUAAGAAGCCACGGCUAACUACGUGCCAGCAGCCGCGGUACUACGCAGGGGGCAAGCGUUAGCCGGAUUUACUGGGUGUAAAGGGAGCGUAGACGGCGAAGAAUGUCUGAGGUGCAAGCCCGCGGCUUAACCGGGGAACUGCUUUGGAACCUUGUUUGCUGGAGUACCGUAGAGGUGAGCGGAAUUCCUAGUGUAGCGGUGAAAUGCGUAGAUAUGAGGAGGAACACCGGUGGCGAAGGCGGCUUACUGGACAGUGACUGACGUUGAGGCUCGAAAGCGUGGGGAGCAAACAGGAUUAGAUACCCGAGUAGUC
rnacentral:rRNA from 1 species